rnacentral:rRNA from 1 species
GACGAACGCUGGCGGCGUGCUUAACACAUGCAAGUCGAACGAAGUGGCGAACGGGUGAGUAACGCGUACUCAACCUGCCCUUCAGAGGGGGACAACAGUUGGAAACGACUGCUAAUACCGCAUACUGAAGGAGGGGAUUGCGGCUGAUUGGCUAGUUGGGGGGGAAACGGCCCACCAAGGCUAUGAUGGGUAGUCGGUCUGAGAGGAUGAACGGCCACAUUGGGACUGAGACACGGCCCAGACUCCUACGGGAGGCAGCAGUGGGGAAUCUUCCGCAAGGGACGAAAGUCUGACGGAGCAACGCCGCGUGAUUGAUGACGGCGUUCGGGUUGUAAAGCUCUGUUAAUCGGGACGCGGUACCGGAAUAGAAAGCCACGGCUAACUACGUGCCAGCAGCCGCGGUAAUUC